rnacentral:piRNA from 1 species
UGUAACUUCAUGGAGACACGCGUCUGC